AUUCAGCAGGAAGCAUAUUCGAGCUAUACUUAUCAGGGUAUUAUGCUGGCUUCAAUUGGCGGCUUAGCCAAUUAAACUUCUCUUGCUUUCCGAACCUCGUAAAGCUGACGAUCCAGUUCUUUGCUCUUACUGGAAGCAUACCACCAGAAAUUAGUGCUCUUUCAAAACUCCAACUGCUGGACUUGUCCUCGAACGGACUUACAGGUAACAUACGAAAUUAACUUCAUUACUGCAUAUUAUUUGAGCAAUCAUAUUUAAAUGGAUUAAGUUUGAGAGAAUACUGACAAAAACAAAGGUAAACCAGCCCUAUUUUAUCAUAUUAAUUGAAAAAAUAAUAAUAAUAAUUAACACGGUAGACACACCUGUUUACACCAUUGUUUUUAUUUAUGCUCUAUCAACGUUUAAUUUCUUCAACAUUUUUUUUCAUUAUUUUCGUAGACUAAUAACAUAAAUGUAUAAAAUAGGUACAAUCCCUCCAGAAAUUGGGAACCUGAAGAAUUUGAUCGAGUUGAAUGUGGGCAGUAACAGCCUAAUUGGGCCUAUUCCUUCAGCUCUAGGGAGUUUGACCAAUCUGAGCAAUUUGGAUCUUUCCUCUAACAAACUUUCUGGAAAAAUUCCUCCAGAGAUAGCAGGUAUGAAGAAUCUAACCUGGUUGGACCUAUCAAAUAACAACAUAAAAGGUUCAAUUCCCGGUGAGAUCACCGAAUUAUCUCGACUUGAUUAUCUAGAUCUUUCCUCUAACAAACUUUCUGGCCAAGUACCGUUUUCAAAUGAACAACUCUCAAGCGUGUAUAUAGUAAGACUCUCUCCUAACAAGGGUUUAUGCGGCGGCAAUUUUCUUGAUCUUCCCUCAUGCGAUACAACCAAACUCAAACAAACUUUCUGGCCCAGUACCGUUUUCAAAUAAUGAUCUCUCAAGCAUGCAUACGGUAGUAAGCCUCUCUCCUAACAACGGUUUAUGCGGCAAUAUUCUUGAUCUUCCCUCAUGCGAUACAACCAAACCUGCCACACUCUUUGUUGAAAUUUUUCUUCCCCUCACCAUAGUCCUCUCAGUCAUAGUCUUUGCAUGCUUACUACUUGCUAAACGUAAGUACAAGAAACCCAAACUCGAGGAAAGAGCAACCAAUAACAUAGAUGUAUUUUCAAUAUGGAAUUAUGAUGGUAGAAUUGUCUACGAGGAUCUGAUUGAAGCCACGGAAGAUUUUCACAUUAAAUAAUGCAUUGGUACCGGAGGCUAUGGCAGCGUCUACAAGGCACAGCUUCCCAACGGCAAGGUAUUUGCAUUGAAAAAGCUUCACACUUCAGAAACAGAGGAAUUGGCGUUCAUCAAGAGUUUCCGAAACGAGGCUCAAGUACUUUCUCAAGUACUGCACCGUAAUAUUGUCAAAUUAUACGGUUUUUGCUUGCACAGAAAAUGCAUGUUUCUGAUUUACGAGUACAUGGAGAGAGGAAGCUUGUUCUGCAAUUUACACAAUAAUGAGGACGCCGUGGAGUUGGAUUGGGCUAAGAGGGUGAACAUUGUAAAAGCCAUGGCACAUGCUUUGGCGUACUUGCAUCAUGACUGCUCACCAUCAAUUAUUCACCGCGACAUAUCGAGCAACAACAUUCUACUUAACUCAAAAUUGGAGGCAUUUGUUGCUGACUUUGGCACUGCCAGGCUUCUACACGCUGAUUCGUCCAAUCGAACUCUAUUAGCAGGAACAUAUGGAUAUAUAGCUCCAGGUUUACCCUUAUGAUAUCUAUUCUUCUGAUGAUCGAUCCUUUAUUUGGUUCAAUUUUAUUUUCUUUUACUUUAUAUUGCAGUCAUAUCCCAUAACAUCUCUCUUAAAUAGAUAGCCAGCUGGCUAGAGAAACUCACAUAUGGAAUUAUGUCUUUUAUUAGUGGGAAGCUACAUUCUAUGAUUACUUUGCUUCAUUUAAAUCUUCAUUUUUUUGUUUGGGGCAGAACUUGCCUACACCAUGGUUAUGACGGAGAAAUGUGAUGUUUAUAGCUUUGGAGUAGUGACACUUGAGGUAUUAAUGGGAAAGCAUCCAAGGGACAUUCUUUCAUCAUUGUCAUCAUCAUCUGAUCCAAAAAUCAUGCUGAUUGAUGUUUUAGACCAACGUCUUCCACCUCCAGUUGAUCGAAAGGUUAUUCAAGAUAUCCUUCUUGUUUCAACAAUUUCAUUUGCGUGCUUGCAAUCGAACCCAAAGUCCUGACCUACAAUGUGAUUUGCUAAUCUUAAAUGUAUUUCAUUGAUAGAUUUUUGGUAGAUUAUUUUUAUUUUAUAAAAAAAUUUAAUGUAUAAAUAAAUUAAAUCACAAAAAUGAAAAAAUGUUGGAUAAAAUAUAAUUACCAAAGUGCAGAUUUACGAGACCAUGAUGGAAUGGAUAUUUUACAUUUAGAUGAAAAAUUAGGGGUAUUAUUGGUAUUAAGAGUUAGGUAUCUAAGCAAAUCCGUUGAAUAUGUGCGCGGAGUGAUGUAACAGGAAUUAAAAACGUGACAGUUGACAGUUACCAACUGAUUGAAACUAUUAAAAUGACUCAUUUAUAACUGAAAAUGGCCGCUCAACUAAUUUGAUAACAAACCAUGGUUAUCAAAUUAUAUAGCCCGGAAAUCUACUUCAAUCUUUGGAAAAUUUUUAUACAAGUUUUAAAUUUUCCACAAGAUAUCCCAAAAUGUAAUUAAUAAAAGUCUGUGCGGCUCCAAAACCAAUUUUUACUGAUUAUUUGAUUAUUUUUAUUGCCAGAAUGACACAUAUUACAAAUUUAUAGGGUAGAAAAUAACAAAACAAAAGUAAAAAAAAAAUUAUAGCACUAGUUAUUUUACAAGGGUAAUUCUGUCAAUUUGAUUGAUGAUUGAUACAAUAAAGUUAAGGUGAAAAAUUAAAUAAAUUAAAUUUUUUGAAGUAUCUUUUACAAUAAAGCAAGCUUAAGGUUGACAAUCGAUAAUUUUUCUAUCAUUAUUAGUCCAAAUCCUCCAUCUAAACUAGCCAAAUAAAGUUAUUUAGAAGCUACUCUACCAAACCGUUACUGGUAAAUUAUAGAGCCUUACUAUGGAAUGCUCAAUGUUGACUUGGGAAAAGGGUUUGAGAUCUAUUUUGAGUCUUGAUCAAGCUUACAAUUUCAGCAUAGAGAUUACACACAUAUAUGGUAAACUAUUAAGAGUAAAUGGAAGGUCUAACAACAAUUUGGAAUUUUACAAAACUGGGGACACAUGCACCAAUUAAUUAGACUCCAAAACAAGAUUAUUUGGAAAAAAGUAGAAGAGUUAGAAAAAUUAGAGAUAAUAGGUAAUAAUCCAAUUAUAAAAAAUAAAAAAGUAUACAAAUAACAAAUAAUUAACCUACAAUUUUACAUACAUAAAUAAAUAUCAAAAUUGUUAAUUGGAUUAAGCUUCAGAUUUGGUACUGGUUUGUGAAAAUUGAAAAAAUUGAAUAUUACAUAGUAUUCCAAUAGUUACUCUAAUAAAGUGUGUUUGGAACACAAUAUUAGUAUUAUAAUACUAUCCACAUUAAUUUAUUGUUAACUUAUGUUUUGGUAAUUUUAGAAGUUACGUCGCAGUGCAUAAUGCGCCAACUUUUGCUUCAAUUGAGGCAUUAAAUAUUUUUUAUUAUUAUUUAAUUUUUACUAUAAAACAGUGGCCCAACACUUGGCAUGUCAAACAAAAAAACUGUUCACGUUCUUGGACACACGCUGGUGCCACAUCAUCACUCAUUGUAAACUGAAAAGAAAAUUUUUGAAUAAGAAAACAGUUGAGUAAUUGUAUUUCGAGUCUUUGGUAGACAUUAUUCGUUUAUACUGGGGCCAGUUUUUCAUUUAACUACAAAAUUACUUUUAUGGAAACCCAUAAAAUAAUUUUUUUUAUUAAUUAAUUAUAUUACGUCUUCAACGAUUAUCAAAUUCUUAUUCGAGUUCAUUAUUUAAGUGGUAAUGCGUUAUCUAAAUAAUCUCAAAUGAUGUGUUAAACAAAUAUUUUGAGGAACAAGACUUAUCAUGUUUCCUCUUAUUAGUUGUAUUUUUAAUUUCUUAUUAAAAAAAUUCUCUCAUAUUCGAUUUAAAAAAAAAAUUCAGCCACCCACAUAAAGGUUGUUAGCUUCGCAGUUGUAUUUUUGGAUCCCUUAUUCUAACUUUUAUCAUGACAUGGCAGUGGUGACAGCAGAGCUUGUUCAUAUUGGUAGAAGUGAAAGCAAAUUAAGGAGAGAAAAAGAGACUAAUUAAGGUAACUUUCAUCCUAUUACGUUUUCUUGAAACCCAUCCACAUAAAAUAACUGCUUAGUUAAACUCUUAUCAUAUCUGCCAACAUGCUGCUUCUGGAUCCCUUUAUUCUGACUUUUAUCAUUUACAUGGCAGUGAUGGGAGCAGAGCUUGUUCAUAUUGGUAGAAGUGAAAGCAAAUUAAGGAGAGACAGAGAGACUAAUUAAGGUAACUAAAUACAUAUGUCCACUAAGUUUAAUAUAGCGAAGUCCUGGAUCAGUCGAUUUGCUGAAAUGAUUUCAAGUAAUCGCCCACUGUGAUUGGCAAUUUUCUCUUAUUUAAGUUUUGGUGAAAUGAAGCCCAUCCACAUAAAAUAAUUGACAGGAAGUGUUAAGGAGAAAAGAUCAGUCUGAUUCAAUGCCUAGGGAUGUUACAAUCAUUUUUUGUUACUAAAUAUUUUUAAAUUAGGAUAAUGUAUUAAUGUAAUAAAACUUUUCAUAAUCUGACAAUUGAUAUACAAAAACCAGAAUCCUAAUUAAAUUCAAACAAUCAUUAUAAUCAACAUCUAUAGGAAAAAGAAAAACGAGAAGCAUAUGCAAUAAAAAUCAAUUCGUGAGGGAGGAAAAUUUACCUUAAUUAUUGAUGUGUUCUCUUCUGGAAUUUUAAUCUCUUGGUACUGAACUUAAUUUUUGCUUAAUUUAUUUCUGCCUCACGAGAACUUACUAUCAUAGAACAUAUAUAUUUUGAGGUCGGACUAUUGGCACCCCUCUAAAAUUCUAUUGAAAUCCCUUUUUUAAUUAUAUUCCAUUUAAAACCAAAAAUACCUUUUUUAAUUUAACACUCUUUUCAUUUAUGAAUUUUUUUAGUUUCCUCUCUUCAAACUUUCUUUAUUAUUUAAUUUCUAAAGCAAAAAAUCUAAAAGAAAAACUAAAAGAAAAUAAUGAAUAUUUUAUGGGUUUAAUACAAUUAUCCUACCUAUAAAUUUUGGGUUCGUUGGGUUCAAAAAUUAGUUUGAGAAGCCUUAAGAAAUUAAUUAAAUUAGGGUAAAAUUUUAUUUAAUUUAUUUUUCCACUAUGUUGUAUCUUAAUUUAGUUUUUUUUUUUUUUUGGUUACAAGAACUCUAUUUUGGCUUAGAGGAUUACUUCUUAAAUUCAAAUUAUUUUAAUGAUAAUAAAAAAUUUGUGCAAGAAAAAAAAUGAGGAGAGAAAGAAAAUAUAAAUGAUUUUAAUUCUAUUUAUAUUUAUCCUUAAACGUAAUUAUAAUGUAGCAAGGGUUUUAUGAGAUUAAUGAAGGAGUGCCAAUAGUCCAACUCAUAUUUUGAUGGUAAACUUGAUCAAAUUUUUUAGCGGGAAAAAAAAAAGAUUUGAAAUAAUAAUAUUAUAUUACUGCAGGAAAAAAAUGUCGGUAACUUUGAUUUGGUGUAUCUUGGGCCACGUACGUACUUUACAUUUGGGCUAGCAUCAGGAAAAGAGAAGUGACGGUAACAAUAAAAUUAUAUUGUUGCAGGAAAAGAGAUUUCUCAACAUCUGUCCUCUGACCGACCGACGGACCCUACAUGAUCCUUGUUCAAAUUGGCUCCCGAAUGUGCCACGUCAACAUGUCAAAACUCGGCCACGUCAUCAACCACGUCAUCUCUCAACCGAUUAUAACGGAUGAUAAUUUGGAUAAGCAAAACAAACAGUUGAAUUGAGUCUCUUCACAAGAAGAUAAUACUUAAGAGAGACCAAAAUGGCGCGAGCCCCGCUUACUUGCAUCAAGUAAAUGAAUUUUAGUUGAAACAAAAGUAGGCCCAUAAUUACAAAUAAAAAUGGCCCAUUACUAUUCACAUCAUUGACAAAACUCGAAGCAGAGCACAGUUUCAAACUCGAAACAAAACGCCAGCAUUUUGGUGGUGCAGCCAUUGCUCAAGAGUUUUUUUUCCGCAAAAGUGCUUAUUUUCCAAAUAUAUAUCCCUUCUUUCCAUUUAUUAACCUGCAUUCAAAUACCCCCAUUUGUGAAUUACAGGUUAAUUUUCAUUUCUGACUCAAAAUUUUCCUCCCGCUUUCCCAAAGUUAAGGUCUCAUUGUUUCAUUGCGUGUAAUAAAGUGAAGGUGAUUAUAUUGAUUUAGACUAUCCCAAUAUUUAUUUUGAUUCCUUAAAAAAUUAAUUUAAUGGGUCUUAAAAUUAUCUUUUUAAUUGUCGUAGUUCUUGUAAAAACUAUUCAUCAAGUAUGGCGGGGUGAGAUUUUGUGUAGUUGAAAAUUUACUCUACCACAGUCAUGUACAAAUAAAGUAAUAGUCAAGUUUUUGAGAAAUUAUUCUGUCAUAGUCACGCACAAGUCGGGUGAUCAUCGACUAAUUGAAAUGGUCAGGCACAAGUCAAGAGUAUAAUUGGGUAUGAAUCCAAGUGUCAUAAGAGUGAGAUUAAAAUGGCCAUGAGAUCCUAAUUUAUAAUAUUGUCAAUUUGUCAUCAACAAAAACAUGCGAUAGAUAGCGUACACGAUAAACGCGUCUGCCUUGGACAGGUUUGUGGAAAAACUUGGUGCUCUAAGUCUAAAAGUAUUACAUUUAAUUAGAUUCCCCCUUCAGUGGUGUGAGUAAAGGAGAUGGCUACAAAAAGCUUUUUUUGGGUAUAAGGUGGACUCUUAAUUUGGAGAGUCUUACAUCAAUAACUUUCAACUUUUUCUUAACCUUCCCACGAGUUUCGUUAUCAUAGCCGCGGAAAAGAAGUCUAGACUUUUACAGAAUUGGUCAAAAUAUUAAUUAAGAUUAUUGCUCCUUAAUUUAAGACUUGUGCUCAAAGUCUAAAAGUAUUAUGAAGAUCGACUUGGUGCAUACUCCCAAGUCUAAAAGAAUUAUAAUUAAUUAAGAUUAUUCUUAUUGGUCAAGCUUUCAAGUAGAUCACCCCCGGGUCGCUGGUAGAUUUGUGAUUGCUAAUCACUAAUAAACAGAGAAAAUAACCAAAAACAAAAAGGAAUGUUAUGAAGGAUAAUCAAAAUAUACAUGCAGACUUAUGCCAAUCAUAUAUAAAAGUCAAACUUCGUCAAAGUCUAAAGGCCGAAGAAGACCUUGACUCACUAUUGUGAUUGAGAAACGUGUGUUGCGAUCAAUGUACAGGAGGAGGAUUUAACUGGGGAAGAAAAAUAGAAGAUGAUUAUGAGCCUGCUCAUGGUGUCCCUUUCCUGUAGUUAAAAUGUUUAUAUAAACUUUACAAGAGCUUGCUGAAUCCAAUAGCUCAAUAAACCUUGACUCACUAUUGUGAUUAAGUUAUAAGCAUGAUUCCGGCAGCCUCCAUUUUCAGAUUGGUGGCCCUUGCAUGGGUUGUAAUAUUUGCGACAGCAUUUGCUUUUUCACCCAUACAGUUAGAAACGAAAGCUUUACUCGAUACAGGCUGGUGGAACAGCAGCUUUUGGAUGGCCAACUACUCUUCGGAUCAUUGCAAGUGGAUUGGCAUCACUUGCAAUUCAGCUGGAAGCAUAAUCGGGCUAAACUUAUCAUGGUAUGAUGUUGACCUCAAUGCGCAGGCACAGCUUAGCCAAUUAAACUUUUCUUGCUUUCCGAACCUCGAAAGUCUCAGAAUCCAGGCCUAUUAUUAUGGUUUUACUGGAAGCAUACCAUCAGAUAUUAGUGCUCUUUCAAAACUCCAACUGCUGGACUUGUCCUUGAACAGGCUUUCAGGUAACCUACAAAAUUAACUUCAUUACCGCAUACUAUUUAAGCAUGAUAUUUAGAUGGAAAAUUUUGACACAAUAAUGAGAAAUACAAAGGUGAAACUUGGUCCAUCUUGCCAUGUUAAAUGAAAAAAAAUGACAAUAAUUAACACAGUAAAUGCAUCUGUUUACCAUUAUUCUUAUUAAAGGGCUCUCAGCGUUCAAUUUCUUUAUAAUUUUUUUCAUUAUUUUCGUAAACUAACAACAUAAACAUAUAGCAGGUACCAUUCCUUCAAAUAUUGGGAAUUUGAGAAAUCUCGUUCAUCUUGAUCUAGGUAAUAACAACCUUACUGGGCCGAUACCUUCAACUCUAGCUCGUUUGACCAAUUUGAAGUAUUUGGAUCUUAGUUUUAACCAAUUCAACAACUCAAUUCCAAAUGAGCUCAGCCAGCUAAUUAAAAUUUUUCAUCUUGAUCUUUCCUCUUAACAAACUUUCUGGAAAAAUUCCUCCAGAGGUGACAAGUAUGAAGAAUCUAACCUGGUUGGACAUAUCAAAUAACAAGAUAGAAGGUUCAAUUCCCGGUGAGCUCACCGAGUUAUCUCGACCUGAUUGCCUCAGUCUUUCCGCUAACAAACUUUCUGGCCCAGUACCAUUUUCAAAUAAACAACUCUCAACCAUGUAUAUAGUAAGACUCUCUCCUAACAAGGGUUUAGGCAGCAAUUUUAGUGCUCUUCCUUCAUGCGAUACAACCAAACCUGUCACUCUGUUUGUUGAAAUUUUUCUUCCCCUCAGUUAUAGUCUUGGCAUGCUUACUAGCCGUCAAACGUAAGUACAAGAAACCCAUACUCAAGGCAAACGCAACCAAUCGCAUAGAUGUAUUUUCAAUAUGGAAUUAUGAUCGUAGCAUUGUCUACGAGGAUCUGAUUGAAGCCACGGAAGGUUUUGAUUACUUGAUUCAGUUUCCAAAAUUCGAAUCUUUUGCUUUGUCAUUUCUCUUCCGCUCUUCGACUGGUACGUUUCUUAUUAUUAUUUUUUAUUUAUAAUUUUGAAUUAUUUCAUUUUUAUUUUCAUUUAUACUUUAAUUGAUUUAAUGCGGUGGUACUAUGUCUAUCCUUACCGGUACUUCAGAAUUUAAAUCAAUUUUUGUGAUUAUUUUUGCACGCGAGUUUUCAGUUUCGAUAUUUGUAAUCACCCUCUUAGGGUUUCUGAUUCGUGCAUUGAUGUUUCAAUUGAUUCAAUCAAGUAGAUUUCUGUUAUAGUGUUUUUUUCCUUUAUGAAAUCAGAGAAUCAAAUGUAGGUAUCAUUUUGUAAUGUAGGUAUAUUUGGGAAAUGUUUUUAAAUGAAUUUUUUUAAAUGCCCGAGUUAUCAAUGUAUUUCAUUGAUAGUAUUUUGUAAAACUUUGGUGAGGGUGAAUUUUGGUUUCAUGAAACCGUUACCUUUCUUGAAUAAAAAUGAAAGUAACGCUUCUAAAGUGAAGUUGGUGCUUCCAAUCUAAACGAUUACAUCUUUAUUUAUUUUUUCUGUGCGAAUUGCAUGUGCAAAUAAGGUCAGCAAGUUUUGCUACUGUGUUAGGAAAUCUUCUUCCACUCACAUUAUUUUUAUAAAUUAAUAUCGUGUGCAAUAUCUGCCUCUCGUUAUCAUCUUUCAACCGGACAAAAGUAGACUGCAAAUAUAAAUGUAGACAAAUUGUUAGCCUUGCUUCACAGAAGUUUCAUUGCAUGUCGUUUUGCAUUGGCGCAUAAGAGUGACCAAUUGAUUGGAACGGCAAUGUUGAAGUUGAUCUGAUAAAAGUGAAAAUGACUAGAUAUUCCACCAUGUCUAAAUCCAAGAAAUUGAAGCACCAAUCAAGUGAUCAAAUUCUCUCAUAUAAUUAAUUAUCAUCACUUGGCCUGAAGGUCAUCAAGUAGGUACUCGGUUGACAAAUUAAAUUACAUAGUUAUUUCAUAAAUGAUAAGGAAAUAUAACCUAAGAUUUUGGUCAUAUUUGGUAUUAAGGUAUUAUAACUUUUAAGCAUAGUCAUUGUGGAACAAAAUUGUAAUUAUGAAAAAAAUUAAGAGUACAUAAUUAAUUUAACUUUUAACUAAUAAUUUUGACAAAAUAAUAAAGAUAUUAUGGACUUCUCAUCAUACAAGUGUGUGAUCAAAUCAACUUAACUUUUAUACCACAAUUGACAGUACUUAGUAAAUAAUUUUGUGCUAUAACUUAGAAAACUAUAACUACCCAACAUCGAUACCAAAUAGGACCUUAGUCUGUAAGCAUCUAUCAUUCUUUCCUUAUUUUAAAAUACUAGUCGUAUUAAGUCUUGAACUUGAAAUCAAUCUAACGGUACAGAGUUUUUUCCAAGUUCCAUCAGCACCAAAUUUUCCUCUGCUUCCUCUGUUUCUUCAGCUAAACGCCACUAAAGAUUUCAAAAUUAUUGGCUGUUUGUUUCAGGAUUUUAGCUAUCUGUAUGAUACAUCCGCUGAGACCCCGGGUGCAUUUUUUCCUUCUCAAAUAUUGAAAGGCUCAACGAUCUUUCUUGAGUUUGUGUCUAAAGAGCAAGCUCUCCUCAACUCAUAGCCGUUAGAUUAGAUUCAUUUAGCUAUUCGACGGUCAAAAGGUAACAAGACUAAAAGUAAAGAGAGCCGUUGUGGGAUCCGCUUCAAUGAUGAAACCCGACACGUCGCUAUCAAAUUUCUUUUAAAAUAUGUGGUGGUAGUGGAAAUAACAUUAAGUCCCUAAGUUUUUAAAACAUCAUAAGUAAAGACAUCUCUUGCAAACAUAUUCAUAGAAGUCCUAUCCUUAGAAUUUGUUAAAAAUUCACAAUUAAAAUCAAUCAUUUAACCGUUAAAUAUUUGAAAAUCGGCUUACAGAUAAACUUAUUUAUCUCCAUGUUUUGAGAAACAUAUUAUUGAACUUUCAACAAAACUUGACAAUAUAUAAGAUAUAAUUCGUAGCACAACUUACUAAUUCAAUAUGAAAAUGAUAUAAAUUAAGUCAAUACAUUUAAAUUAAUUUAAGAUUACACAAGUAUUAAUCAUAUAAAAUAUGCAUCAUUUAUUUACUAACCUGAUUGGGUUUAGAUUUUUUUUAAUAUUAUAUAUGACACAAUAAUUAUGGUAUUAACCAUAUAGGUUCUCAAUAAUAUUUAAAUAAAAAAUAUUAAAUGGGUGAAAAUUAAAAAAAAAUUAAUUUAAAGAUAUGUUAAUCAUGCUUUUAUCAAUCGUGUGCUAAAUUGGUGUUUUAAGCUUUUUAGUUUGGUCGAACUUGUGCCGCCCAAAUUUUUCGCGCUAAAAAACAUGAUAAACAAAUUUUUGUAAAAUUUUUGGACUAUUUUUUGUAAAAUUUUUGUAAAAUUUUAUAUCAUUUUUGUAAAAUUAAAAUUAAAAAUUUUGUAAAAUUUUUGGCUACUAUAACAGGGUCUUUGUAAAAUAUAUUAUCACUUAUGCCCCUUCAUUUAAAUUUUCGUAAACAUUAGGAACCUUCGUGCUAUUAUCUCAAAAGAAAUCAGGUUCUUCAAGCCCAUAAAUACCAAGUGUCAUUCACACUCUACUCAUAUUACAAAACCAAAACAAGAUAUAAUUCGGGGGGAAAAAAAAAAUCAUAUCAUAAAAUCAAAGUCUCUCACACUCUUAAGUUCUAAUACAGAGAUGGCGCAAGUUAGUAUUUGCAGAGCUGUGGCUUUGAUUCUCUUCAUUGCAGCGCUUCUCUCAAUGACAGCUGUCGUCAGUGCACAGGAUGUCGACCUGGCGCCGUUGCCGAGCAUGGACGCCGGAGCUGCGUUCCCGGUGACUGUUUCAGGUGGUUUUGUUUGCUCCUCACUCUUCUUCUCAGUCAUUACUCUACUAUUGCAGUAACAGGUUCUUGAGAGACUCAGAUUUUUAUUUUAUUUAAUUUUUAUUUUUAUUUUUAUUAUUAGGAUAUUUAUUACUUUUGAAAUUUUUGGCUAUUUUUUUAAUUGCUAUUUGGUGGGAGUGAGAAUAUUAGUUUUAAUAAUUCGAUUAUUUUUCCUCUAAUCUUUGGUUAGGAUUGUAUUUUCUUUUUAUUUUUUUACGGUCUUGAUAUUAUAUUAUAUUUUAAUUAUAAAAAUUGGAAUUAUUAUUUAUCAUUUUGCAUCUCUCUUUAAGUAUAUUUAUCAUUUGGCUAUUAUAAGUAUUGUUGAUUUUAAGUAUAUUUAGUACAAAAUCUAGCUGAAGGAAAUUGACUUUUAAAUAAGAAAAAAAAAUCUAUUUGGGUGGUUAAAAUCUAAUAAAGUUAAUUGAAAAUCUAUUGCAAAAUAAUAAUUCAAAAUCCGUGUCAUUAUUUUAAGCAAAAAAAUUUCUCAAGAAAAAUUGAACUGGGGAUAGUUUUAUGUAGUUUCGUACUUUCAAUUUCAAACGGGCCGGUUUAAUAAUUAGACAUUUUACUUAAAAUCAUCAUACUUAUCUCGAAAUUCAUUUUUUUUCCUCGCAUACUUUAUAUUAUUAAUCAACAUAUAUAAAAAUUUUAAUAGAAACACGAUGCUUUUCCAAAAUCCUAAUGGCAUACGAAGUCUUCAUCUCGAUUUGAAAUUCAACCAUAUCUGUUUUUCUUUUUCUUUUUUUCAGGUUUCAUUUACCAUUAUUAUCCAUUCGCAACUUGCAUCUGUUGUGGUUAACUGAUGAAGAAGAUACUCAAAAAUACAAACAAGAAAUUAAAAACAAAGGCAACAAGCAAGAGACAUGCAAAUUUAGAGUGCCCUCUCUGUGUGGGGCUAAUGGUCAAUUUUGGAAUUAUCGUUCGAAUAGUCAAAAUUGAUUGUUUGAAAUUAAUUACAAACGUGUGUACCUUGCUGAUCGGUAAACAAAUUAUAUAGCCCGGAAAGAUCUUGACUCCAAAAGAAAUCUACUUCAAUCUUUGGAAAAUUUUGAUACAAGUUCUAAAUUUUCCACAAGAUAUCCCAAAAUGUAAUUUUCAAACAAUUGUUGUUGGUGUUGUCGAGCUCGUUUUAGACGUUUAGGAAUUGUUAGAACGUGUGUAAGGACAAUGACUUCUUGAGUCAUGAAUAAAAGACCAUUUAUGGAUUAAUAAAAGUCUGUAUGGGGCUCCAAAACCAAUUUUUACUGAUUAUUUUUAUUGCCACAAUGACACAAAUUACCAAUUUAUAGAGUAGAAAAUAACUUGUCAUGAAUAGAAGACCAUUUAUUUAUACAUGGAAUUAUGGAUUAAUAAAAGUCUUUGCUCCUCCAAAAUUAAUUUUUAUUGAUUAUUUUAUUAUUUGAUUAUAUAUGUUGGACCAAAAAUAAAAUAAGCCUAAUGUGAAGGCAGCUCAUUAUUCAAGUAGCUCAAUAAAGCCACGUCAGCAGCAGAUUGAAAGUGAAGAAUGACAGCUCAGCAUGAUUGAUUAAUAGUCAAUAAUCCAGCUCAUGUAAACUGUGAUGUAACGAAUUGUAGUUGGUUUUGGUUGUUAAGAAAGUUAGUUAGUCACGAGUUAUUCUCACGUGUAAGUGAUUGUAUAUAAGCUUGUGAUUGACUUAUGAAUUAAUAAGAAUUGAAUCUUUUGGAAAUCAAUCUUCAUUUUCUCUGUAAUUUUCUUCCAAGCCAAACAGCAUAGUUCUGUUUUCUUUCAUGGUAUCAGAGCCACAAAUGGCUAGCUCAAGUAAUACAACUUCAAAUCAACCAAUCAUAAACUCAAUUCCAAACUCGCAAACUUCAUUUACCUUUGCUGCAACUGUGAAACUUGAUCGAUCAAAUUUCCUACUUUGGCGUAAGCAAGUAUUAACGUCAAUCAGAGGAAAUCGUCUUGAACAUUUUAUCUCGGAGCCACAAGUUGUUCCAGAUCAGUAUCUAUCUGGAGGAUCUGGUGAGAGCAUUGAAAAUCCAGCUUACAUCAACUGGAGAGCGCAGGACCAAACACUUCUCGGCUGGCUACUGUCAACUGUCAGUGAAGGUAUUCUAAGUUAUGUUCUCAACCAUGACACCUCCUUUGAUAUGUGGAGAUCUAUUGAAAAACAGUUUGGAGUUCAAUCUGAAGCUAAGAUAAUGCAACUUCGAUAUGAAAUGAAUAUUCUGAGAAAAGAUUCAAUGAAUGUUGAGGAAUACUGUGCCAAAAUGAAAUUGCUUGCUAACAAAUUAGCUUGUGCUGGUGAUAUAAUUACUGAGAAGGAUCUGUUAAUGAGAGUGUUAAAUGGUUUAGGUCCAGGAUAUCUAGAUUUAGCCUCAAUAAUCACUGCAAAUAAGAUGAGCUUUGAUGAUGCUUAUGCACUAUUGUUGACACAUGAGGCUAGGCUUGAGCAAAAUCACAGUACCAAAACUAUGUUUCAUGCAAAUUACAGCACAGUGAAUGUGAGUCAUCCCUAUAUGAGAGGAAAUUUUAGAAGAGGUGGUUUUGGAAAUGGACAUUAUGGUCGAUCUAUGAAUAGAGGUUUCAAUACUGGCAGAGGCAUGUUUCAUAACCAAUAUCCAAGAGGUGUUUCAACUGGUUUUGGUAACUUUGGGGGUUAUGGCAGAGGACAAAUGAUGCAAUCUUUUAGGCCACCUGUGAAAACAAAUCCCUCACUUAACAUGCAAGCAGAUGAAUCAACAGUUAUAUGUCAGAUAUGUCACAAAACAGGACACACAGCAGAUGAAUGUUAGCAUAGAUAUGAUGAUCCACCAUUACCUAAACAGUUUGGAAGAGGCAAAUCCUUUGGACCUAAAGCUGCUUAUGUAUCUAACUUUGAUCCAUAUACCAGUUAUGCUGCUCCUCCAAUUGAAGAACAAUAUGCUGCAUCUUAUCCAUGCUACAAUCCUAUAUCCUAUUCAUCAUUUCCAGCAGCAGAUUCAACUGUUGCUGAAGCUUAUCUUUCCAACUAUGAUGGACCUGCUGAUGAAGGGCGGUACCUUGACAGUGGUGCCACACAUCACUUGACCAACAGUAUGGCCAAUAUGAAUGUCAGAGAGGAGUUCAGAGGAGCUGAUCAAUUGGUCAUUGGCAAUGGACAAGGUUUGCCUAUAACUCACAUUAGUAAUGCAUGCUUUACUUAUAAAGGGUCAAAUAAUGCAUAUAAACCAGCAUAUAUCUUGCUUAAAGACAUGCUAUUAGUGCCUGAUAUCACAAAGAAUUUGCUAAGCAUAUCAAAACUGACAACUGAUAACAAUCUUUCUGUUGAAUUUGUUGGUAAUGUCUGUUAUGUGAAGGAUUCUCUGAAGAAAGGAUUGUAUAAGCUGCUUCUAAAGCCAUCUGAGUCUUCUCAUUGUGCUUACCUGUCUCAUUUCUCUCCUGUUCAACCUUUGUCAAUGUUGUCUGCAUAUUUCUCUGAAUCAAUUGUUCCCAAAAACACUCAAAAUAAUGAUUCUAGUUGUGUCUCAUCUUGUAAUGCAUCAAUCAAUAAAUUUUCCAGCUACAUUUCAUCUUGUGAUGCAUUGAAUAAUAAAGUUCAGCUUUUAAACAGACGUUUUGGGCAUCCAAACUCUCAAAUUCUGAUGCAUUUGCUAAAAAGUGUUCCCUCUGUUACUCUCUCCCACAAUACCAUAAAGCAAGCACUUGAAAAAUUAUGUGAAGCAUGUCAAAUGGGUAAAACUCACAUAUUACACUUUCCUAGCACAGAAACCAAAACAACAAAACCCCUGGAACUUAUCCACACAGACUUAUGGGGGCCUUCACCAACACUUUCUAGAGAUGGAUAUAACUAUUACCUAAGUCUUGUUGAUGACUUUAGCCGAUAUACUUGGAUUUAUCCACUUAAGCUGAAAUGAGAAGCCUUAGAUGUCUUCAAGUUAUUCAAAUUGCAGGUUGAAAACCAAUUUGACACUACUAUUAAGAACCUGCAAUCUGAUUGGGGGGGAGAAUAUAGAUCAUUUACACAAUUCUUAAACCAAUGUGGAAUCAUUUUCAGACAUUCUUGCCCCUAUACACACCACCAAAAUGGGUUGGUAGAGAGAAAACAUAGACAUAUUGUUGAGCUAGAACUUACUCUGUUAGCACAAGCCAAGCUACCAUUUAAGUUUUGGUGGGAUGCCUUUCACACAGCUGUUUAUCACAUCAAUCGAUUACCAUCAACAGCCUUGAAACUACUCACUCCUUAUGAGAAAAUUUUCAAACUUAAACCUGACUACAGCAUGCUCAAGUGCUUUGGGUGCAUAUGUUAUCCUUACUUAAGGGAUUAUAACAAACACAAGUUUGAUUAUCACUCAAGCAAAUGCAUUUUCCUUGGCUAUAGUCCAGCUCAUAAAGGAUACAAGUGUCUACAUUCAUCAGGAAAAAUAUACAUAGCUAGACAUGUGGUAUUUGAUGAGUCAACAUUCCCUUAUUCCAUUGACUCAGCCUUUAAUUCCAAUGAGUCAUCACUCAGUUCAAGUUCAUCCUUGACACCUCAACAAGUGUACCAGUUAUCUACAUUGUCUGUAACCCCAAUGUCAGAUGUGAACAGCUUAUGCAAUUCUCAGCAAGCAAUCCCUACCAGAAGCAGUUCACAACAUUCAGACAAUUCUUCUCACAUUGACAAUCAACAUUCCCAGUUGCAAACACAUCUACCAGCCAUUGAACCAUUUGUUGAGCCUCAAACUUCAUCAUAUCCACCUCAAACUGUACAUCCCACAUCAACUUCUAUUCAACCUAAUACACAUCCCAUGACCACCAGAAGUAAAGCUGGUAUUUUCAAACUAAAGCUUUAUACAGCAACUCUUGUUCACAAAGAACCUGACUCUGUGUAUGAAGCAAUGCAAAAUCCAAAAUGGCUUACUGCUAUGAGAGAAGAAUAUGCAGCAUUGAUGGAGAAUGGUACAUGGUCUUUAGUCCCCAGAAUAGCUGACCAGAAAGUUGUCGGAAAUAAGUGGGUUUAUAGGGUGAAAUAUAACACUGAUGGAAGUGUGGCUAAAUACAAAGCUAGGUUAGUGGCAAAGGGAUUCCAACAGAUUAUGGGAGUGAAUUGUUUUGAAACCUUUAGCCCUGUCAUAAAACCAGCAACUGUGAGAGUAGUCUUAAGUCUAGCUGUGAUGAGUAAUUGGAAGAUAAGACAAGUCGAUGUGAAUAAUGCUUUCCUUAAUGGAGAGUUAUCAGAAGAAGUAUUCAUGGAUCAACCAGAGGGGUUUAUUAGUGCUGAGAAACCAGAUUAUGUGUGCAAGCUUCAUAAGUCUCUUUAUGGACUCAAACAAGCUCCAAGAGCUUGGUAUGAUAAGCUGAAAGGAUGCUUGCUGCAGUGGGGUUUUACAAAUUCCAGUUCUGAUACUUCCUUGUUCUUAAAAAGAAGCAAAUCCUCAAUGAUUUUAGUACUGAUAUAUGUUGAUGACAUCUUAAUAACAGGGCCAAAUAGUUAUGAGUUGGAAAACUUCAUUGCUGAAUUCAGUACAAAGUUUGCUUUGAAAGAUCUUUGAACACUUUCUUAUUUCUUAGGCAUAGAAGUGCUAUAUGGUACAGACUGUAUCUUCUUGUCUCAGAAGAAAUACAUAAGGGAUUUACUGUUAAAGGUUAACAUGCUCAGCUGCAAAGACAUUGAUACUCCCAUGAGUACAGGGAUGAAGUUGCAGAAGGAAGCUCAAGGAACCCUUGGUCAUUAUGUUGAAGAUGCAACACACUACAGAAGCUUGGUUGGUGGAAUGCAAUACUUGGUAUUAACAAGACCAGAGAUUGCUUUCAGUGUGCAUAAACUGAGUCAAUAUGUAUCAGCACCAACACUGCAACAUCUUAUGGCUUGCAAAAGGGUGCUUAGAUACUUAAAGGCAACACAAGAUUAUGGACUCAAGUUCAUUAAAGAUGGUCAUAUGAAAUUAACAGGCUUCACAGAUGCAGAUUGGGCAGGGGAUUUGGAUGACCGAAAAUCAGUUGGAGCCUAUUGCAUCUAUCUUGGUCAUAAUCUAAUUUCUUGGUCUUCUAAGAAGCAACCAGUUAUUACUAGAUCUAGUGCCGAGAGUGAGUACAGAUCUUUGGCAUCAGCAAGUGCAGAGAUAAGUUGGCUGCAGUCAUUGUUUUUUGAACUAAGAUUACAGUGCAUGGAAAAACCUAUUAUUUGGUGUGAUAAUCUUAGUGCUACUGAGCUAGCUCAUAAUCCAGUGUUUCACUCAAGAACAAAACAUAUUGAGAUUGAUAUUCAUUAUGUCAGAAACAAAGUUCUUGCUGGGGAUUUGAAUAUCCAGUUCAUACCAAGACUGGGGAUUUGAAUAUUCAGUUCAUACCAAGUGAAGAGCAGGUAGCUGACAUCAUGACUAAACCACUCUCAUUCACUCAAUUUAGCUACCUAAGAGCCAAACUCAAUGUCAUGCCAUGUCCCUUGAGUUUGAAGGGGGCUGUGAAGGCAGCUCAUUAUUCAAGUAGCUCAAUAAAGCCACGUCAGCAGCAGAUUGAAAGCGAAGAAUGACAGCUCAGCAUGAUUGAUUAAUAGUCAAUAAUCCAGCUCAUGUAAACUGUGAUGUAACGAAUUGUAGUUGGUUUUGGUUGUUAAGAAAGUUAGUUAGUCACGAGUUAUUCUCACAUGUAAGUGAUUGUAUAUAAGCUUGUGAUUGACUUAUGAAUUAAUAAGAAUUGAAUCUUUUGGAAAUCAAUCUUCAUUUUCUCUGUAAUUUUCUUCCAAGCCAAACAACAUAGUUCUGUUUUCUUUCACCUAAUAAGACCCAAAUAAAUUUAAUCUCAAUAAAGCUCAUCUAAUAAAUUUUCUCCCAAUUAAACCCACAAAGUGGUGGACAAAUCACCUAGAAUGAUCAUCCUAAGUAACAAGGUUUCAAAGCCCAAAACAAGUCAGGUCCUAGAUUCCUAUCCUAAGACAAACCACCUACGAUAAAUCAACUAGGUGGCAAGGAUUUGAAGUCUAAAACGUGUUGAGAUUCUAGGCUCUUAUCCUAGGACAAACCUCCUAAGUUUGAGGGCUCUUAUGAUCACAAGGUUUUAGUAAAAAUAACCUAAGGAUAAAACUUUUCUUCCUUUAAUCCGUAAACAAGUCUGUAUAUCCAUGUGUCAAUCAACAUACUAGAGGGCAACUGUUGCAAAAUGUCAUAAGAAUAAUGACAUUUGUCAUCAAAAUAACUAGGACCCAAGUCAAAUUAGUUUGGCCGAAAAAUACGUCUUUCAUUCUCACUAAAAGAUAAGAAAAAAAAGAGACUAAAAAGGAGAAAAGACUAACUUUCUCCCUCUAAUCUUUCUCUUUCUAAAUUUAUAUUUCCAAAAGUCCGGUUACUGACUUGAUCGUCGGAGGGCCCUAUGAUCAUUUUCUUGUAUUUACAGAGUAUCACUAGACGAAGACAUUUUGAUUGCCUAAGGAAGUGAACUGAGAAGAGCAUAUAUAAAGGCCCAUUAAGAUCAGCCCAAAGGAUAAACUCACCAUCAUCAAAUCUAAAAAAGAGGAACCCAUGUCCUAAGGGGGCUAUCCUCAGUCAGAAAUUUCCACAUCAUAAGUUGGGACAAAAUUUGCACCAACAAUAUAUAUUGCCAGAAUGACACCAAUUGAAAGAAAGCUUAGGUCGAAAAUGUCAAUAAUAAUAAUAGUAUUUAAUUUAUUUUUUUUGGUGGAUGAUUGAUACCAAUUAUAAACUUAGAAUAAAAAAAUUGAAUGAAUUUAAAAUUUUAUAUUACCUUUGAUAACAAGAUAAAUAUAAAUCGAUGACUAAUAAUUUUUCUACAAUUAAUCCUAAUUCUUCAUUUUUGAAUUUGAGUGGCCAACAAAUAAAAUUAUUUGAAAACUACUCUAUCCUGAGAGUUAUUAGUAGAUGUGUGAUUGCUAACCACCAGAAAAAAAUAACAAAAAAGAAAUUUAAUUGAGGAAAAUCAAAUAUCUAUACAGAUUUGUACCAAUCAUGUACACAAAUCAAACUCCCUCAGUGUUCUAAAGUGUAAAGGCCAGAGAAGACCUUGACUCACUAUUGUGUUUGAAAACGAGUGUUGCUAUUCAACGCGGGAAGAAGAUGAUUAUGGGCCUGCUCAUGGUGUCCUUUUCCUGGGUUAAAGUGUCUAUAUGAACUUUAUAAGAACUUGCAGCAUCCAAUCAACCGAAAAAUUACAAUCAUGGAUCCGACUUCCUCCAUUUUCAGAUUGGCGGCCCUUGUAUGGGCUGUAAUAUUUACAUGCGAUAACGUUGCUGUUAGAACUGGUACAAUUGUCACAGCAUCUGCUUUGUCACCCAUACAGUUAGAAAAGAAAGCUUUAAUCAAUACUGGCUGGUGGAACAGUAUAAUCGAGCUACACUUAUCACGGGAUGAUGCUUACUACUUCAAUUGGCGGCUCAGCCAAUUAAACUUCUCUUGCUUUCCGAACCUCGUAAAUCUGACAAUCCAGUUCUGUCGUCUUACUGGAAGCAUACCACCAGAAAUUAGUGCUCUUUCAAAACUCCAACUGCUGGACUUGUCCUUCAACAGUCUUACAGGUAACAUACGAAAUUAACUUCAUUAACGCAUAUUAUUUGAGCAAUCAUAUUUAAAUGGAUUAAGUUUUGAGAGAAUACUGACAAAAACAAAGGUAAACCAGCCCUAUUUUAUCAUAUUAAUUGAAAAAAUGAUAAUAAUAAUUAACACGGUAAAUACAUCUGUUUGCCGUUGUUUUUACUUAUGUUCUAUCAGCGUUUAAAUUUCUUUAACAUUUUUUUUCAUUAAUUUCGUAAACUAAUGACAUAAAUGUACAAAAUAGGUAUAAUCCCUCCAGAGAUUGGGAAUUUGAGGAAUGUUGUCCAUUUGGAUAUAUCUGAUAACUUCCUUACCGGACCUCUUCCUUCAACUCUUGGUCGUUUAACCAAAUUGAAUUAUAUGAGCCUCUCUCGCAACAUGCUCGGUGGUAUACUACCUCAGGAAAUUGGGAACCUGAAGAAUUUGAUCGAGUUGAAUGUGGGCAGCAACAGCCUAAUUGGGCCUAUUCCUUCAGCUCUAGGGAGUUUGACCAAUCUGAACAAUUUGGAUCUUAGUUGUAACCAAUUCAACAGCUCAAUUCCAAUUGAGCUCACCCGUUUAACUCAACUUUUUCAUCUUGAUCUUUCCUCAAAUAAACUUUCUGGAAAAAUUCCUUCACAGAUAGCAAGUAUGGAGGAUCUAACCUCGCUGGACCUAUCAAAUAACAACAUAAAAGGUUCAAUUCCCGGUGAGAUCACCAAGUUAUCUCGACUUGAUUAUCUAAACCUUUCCUUAAAUAAACUUUCUGGAAAAAUCCUUCACAGAUAGCAAGUAUGGAGGAUCUAACCUCGUUGGACCUAUCAAAUAACAACAUAGAAGGUUCAAUUCCCGGUGAGCUCACCAAGUUAUCUCAACUUUGUUUCGUCAAUCUUUCCUCUAACAAACUUUCUGGGCCAAUACCAUUUUCAAAUGAACAACUCUCAAGCAUGCAUUCCGUAAGCCUCUCUCCUAACAAGGGUUUAUGCGGCGGCAAUUUUCUUGAUCUUCCUUCAUGCCCUACAACCAAAUCUGCCACUCACUUUGUUGAAAUUUUUCUUGCCCUCGCCAUAGUCCCCUCAGUUAUAGUCUUUGCAUGCUUACUAGUCGUCAAACGUAAGUACAAGAAACCCCAACUCAAGGAAAGAGCAACCAAUAGCAUAGAUGUAUUUUCAGUAUGGAAUUAUGAUGGUAGGAUUGUCUACGAGGAUCUGAUUAGAGCCACGGAAGAUUUUGACAUUAGAUAUUGCAUUGGUACCGGAGGCUAUGGCAGCGUCUACAAGGCACAGCUUCCCAACGGCAAAGUAUUUGCAUUGAAAAAGCUUCAUCCUUCAGAAACAGAGGAACUAGCGUUCAUCAAGAGUUUCCGAAACGAGGCUCAAGUACUUUCUCAAGUACUGCACCGUAAUAUUGUCAAAUUAUACGGUUUUUGCUUGCACAGAAAAUGCAUGUUUCUGAUUUACGAGUACAUGGAGAGAGGAAGCUUGUUCUGCAUUUUACACGAUGAUGAUGAAGCCGUAGAGUUGGAUUGGGCUAAGAGGGUGAACAUUGUAAAAGCCAUGGCACAUGCUUUGGCUUACUUGCAUCAUGACUGCUCACCAUCAAUUGUUCACCGCGACAUAUCGAGCAACAGCAUUCUACUUAACUCAAAAUUGGAGGCAUUUGUUGCUGACUUUGGCACUGCCAGGCUUCUUUUUCUGUGUGAAUUGCAAGUGCAAAUAAGGUCAGCAAGUUUUAAUAUCGGUAAAUUAUAUUAAUUUGACACUUAAAAAUUAAGGAAAAAAAAAGAAUAUUCUGGAUUAAACCAACUUGGAGAGGUUGCACUUAUGUAAUAUCUAUCCUUAAAAAAUUAAAAAAAAAAGAUAAAUUAUAUAGCCCGAAAAGACCUUGACUCCAAAAGUAGUCUCUACUUCAAUCUGUGGAAAAUUUUGAUACAAUUAAGUUCUAAAUUUUUCCACAAGAUAAUUGUUGUUGGUGGUGUCUGGCUCGUUUUAGACGUUUAGAAAUUGUUAGAAAUUGUUAAGAAAAAAAAAAGAAUAUUCUGGAUUAAACCAACUUGGAGAGUUUGCACUUAUGUAAUAUCUAUCCUUAAAAAAUUAAAAAAAAAAGAUAAAUUAUAUAGCCCGAAAAGACCUUGACUCCAAAAGUAGUCUCUACUUCAAUCUGUGGAAAAUUUUGAUACAAUUAAGUUCUAAAUUUUUCCACAAGAUAAUUGUUGUUGGUGGUGUCUGGCUCGUUUUAGACGUUUAGAAAUUGUUAGAAAUUGUUAAGAAAAAAAAAAGAAUAUUCUGGAUUAAACCAACUUGGAGAGUUUGCACUUAUGUAAUAUCUAUCCUUAAAAAAUUAAAAAAAAAAGAUAAAUUAUAUAGCCCGAAAAGACCUUGACUCCAAAAGUAGUCUCUACUUCAAUCUGUGGUGUACACAAAAUAUAAAUUAUUAACCAAAUUUUUUAUUUUUUGAUUAUUUUUAUCGCCAGAAUGACACAAAAUAUAAAUUUAUAGGGUAGAAAAUAACAAAACAAAUAAAAAAUUAUAGUACUAAUUAUUUUACAAUGGUAAUUCUGUCAAUUUGAUAGAUAAUUGAUACAAAUAGUAAACUUAAGGUGAAAAAUAAAAAAUUGAAUAAAUUUAAAUUUUCAAAGUAUUUUUUUCUGUGUGAAUUGCAAGUGCAAAUAAGGUCAGCAAGUUUUGCUAUUGUGCUUAGGAAAUCUUCUUCCAUCCACAUUAUUUUUAUGAAAUUAAUAUCUGUGCAAUAAUUAUUGUAACUCAUGAGUUCUCAGAACUGUAAAUCAGAGUGGGAAUAUUUCCAUAUUGUGGCAUGACAUGGGCUUUUCUUCUCAAUCAAAUUUUAAAAAAUUUUGGAUUCUCUAUUUCACUAUUUAAUUGAGUAGACUGCAGAUAUAAAUGUAGACAAAUUAUUAGCCUUACUUCACAGAAGUUUCAAUGCUUGUCGUUUUGCAUUCCGCAAAACGACAAUGUUGAACCAUCAAUUUAAGUGGAACGGCAAUGUUGAAGUUGAUAUGAUAAAAGUGAAAAUGACUAGAUAUUCCGCAAAGUCUAACAUUCAAGAAAUUGAACCACCAAUCAAGUGAUCAAAUUCUCUCAUGUAAUUAAUUAUCAUCAAUUGGCUUGAAGGUCAUCAAGAAGGUACUGGAUUGACAAAUUAAUUGCUCUACUAUUGCAGUAAUAGGUUCUUGAAAGACUUUAGAGACUCAGAUUUUUUUUUUUAUUUUAUAAUUUUAUUUAUUAUUAGGAUAUUUAUAAUUUUUUAAUUUUUGGGCUUUUUUUUUUAAUUGCUAUUUGAUGAGAGUGCAUGUGUUUGAGUUGGAGUGAGUGAGAAUUAUUAGAGCAUCUUCAAAAGGAUCUUUAAAUUUACUCUUUAAAUUUUACUCUUCAAAUUUUAAUUUGCUUACUGAUAUGGCAAAUAAGUGUAUAGAAAAAUAUAAUUCCCUCCAAAAGACUCACCAAAUAAGAAUAAAUUAAUAUUAUUUUAAUCAAAUCUUUCCCACUAUCAAAUUAAAUUGUUAUUAUAUUUUUUAAAAGAAACAUAAAUAAUAAUUAUUGCAGUCUUAUCUUUUCAAUAAAUAAUAAUAAAAUAUUAAUAGAAGAGGGAGAAACUCACUCGGCAAUAUUGAAGAGUGAGAAACAAAUCUUAUUUGAAGAAUCUAAAUUAACGUGUUUUUUGGAGUGUUUAAUAUUGAUAUGACUCUUCAAAUAAGAAGUAGAAUCUUAUUUGAAGAGUCUUUUGGAGAUGCUCUUAGUUUCAAUAAUUAGAUUAUUUUUCCCCAACCUUUGGUUAGGGUUGUAUUUUCUUUUUUCUUUUUCUUUUUUUUUACGGUCUUGAUAUUAUAUUAUAUUUUAAUUAUAAAAAUUGGUAUUGUUAUUUAUCAUCUUGCAUCUCUCUUCUUCGCUUCCAAAUUCUGCUAGUGCUAUUUGCUUGGCGACUAAACUGAAAAACUCCCAGAGACCGUUUCUAUUAUAAGUAUUGUUAAUUUUAAGUAUAUUUAGUACAAAAACUAGCUGCAGGAAAUUGACUUUAAAUAAGAAAAAAAAUCUAUUUAGGUGAUUAAAAUCUAAAGUUAAUUGAAAAUCUAUUGCAAAUUAAUAAUUCAAAAUCCGUGUCAUUAUUUUAAGGCAAAAACUUAUCAAGAAAAAUUGAACUGGGGAUAGUUUUAUGUAGUUUCGUAUUUUCAAUUUCGAAUGGGCUGGUUUAAUAAUUAGACCAUCUAAUUAAAACAUCAUACUUAUCUUGAAAUUCAAUUUUAGUCCUCACAUAGUUUCGGUGCUUUUCGAAAAUCUUAAUGGCAUUCGAAGUCUUCAUCUUGCUUUGGAUUCAACCAUAUCUGUUUUUCUUUUCUUUUUUUCAGGUUUCAUUUACACCAAAUUUUCUCCAUUAUCCAUUCGCAAAUGAAUAGUGAAUCACAUAGGAAUAUGAAAAACCUGUGAGGUUGAUACAAAGUAAUUAACAAAUCUUGGUUUGCAGACAAUUGAUUGUAAUCAGUUCCCAAACUCUCUUCAUUAUCUUCUGAAAGCAACUUGCAUCAGUUGAGGUUAACUGAUGAAGAAGAUACUAAAAAAUACAAACAAGAGCAAUAAAUUAAAAACAAAUGCAACAAACAAGAGGCAUUAAAAUUUAGAGUGCUAGCUAGGUCUCUCUGUGUGAGGCUAAUGGUCAAUUUUGGAAAAAUUGUUCGAAUAGUCAAAAUUGAUUGUUUGAAACUAACUACAAACGUGUGUUUCGGUAAAUUAUUUUAUUUGAUUUCAGCCCGAGUUAUAUUAAUUUGGCACUUUAAAAAUUAAGAAAAAAAAAAGCAUAUUCUGGAUUAAACAAACUUGGAAAGAAGCUACACUUGUAAACAAAUUAUAUAGGCCCGAAAGACCUUGACUCCAAAAGAAAUCUGCUUUUCAAUCUUCAGAAAAUUUUGAUACAAGUUCUAAAUUUUCCACAAGAUAUCUCAAAGUGAAAUUUUCAAACAAUUGCUGUCGGUGCCGUCUAGCUCGAAUUAGACGUUUAGGAUUUUUUAGAACUUCUAUAAGGACAAUGACUUCUUGAGUCAUGAAUAAAAGACCAUUUAUGGAUUAACAAAAGUCUGUGUGUGGCUCCAAAACCAAUUUUUACUGAUUAUUUGAUUUUUUUAUUGCCAGAAUGACACUAAUUACAAAUUUAUAGAGUAGAAAAUAAUAAAAAAAGAGUUAAAAAAAAUCAUAGUACUAGUUAUUUUACAAGGGUAGUUCUGUCAAUUUGAUUGAUGAUUGAUACAAUAAACUUGAGGGUGAAAAAUUAAACAAAUUUAAAAUUUUGAAAUAUUUUUUAUAAUAAAGCAAGCUUAAGGUGGAUAACCGAUAUUUUUCCUGUCAUUAUUAGUCUAAAUCCUCCAUUUUUUUUUUUAAUUUGGAAGCUACUCUACCAGGCCCAGGGUUAUUAGUAAAUUUGUGAUUGCUAAUCACGAAUAAAAAGAGAAAAACAACAAAAAAAGCAAUGUUAUUGAGAAUAAUCAAAAUAUAUAUGUAGAUUUAAACCAAUCAUAUUCACAAACCAAAUUCCCUCAAAAGCCUUAAAGGCCAGAGAAGACUUUGACCCACUAUUGUGAUUGAAAAACGUGUGUGGCGAUUAAUGUACGGGAGGAGGAUUUAACGCGGGAAGAAAAAUAGAAGACGACUAUGAGUCUGCUCAUGGUGUCCUUUUCCAGGGUUAAAAUGUUUAUAUAAACUUUGUAAGAGCUUGCUGAAUCCAAUAGCUCAAUCAACCGAAAAGUUAAUUAUAAGCAUGGAUCCGGCAUCCUCCAUUUUCAGAUUGGCGGCCCUUGUAUGGGUUGUAAUAUUUACAUGCGAUAACGUUGCUGUUAGAACUGGUACAAUUGUCACAGCAUCUGCUUUGUCACCCAUACAGUUAGAAACGAAAGCUUUACUCAAUACUGGCUGGUGGAACAACAGCUGGACGACGGCCGACUACUCUUCGCGUCAUUGCGAGUGGAUUGGCAUCACUUGCAAUUCAGCUGGAAGCGUAAUCGAGCUAUGCUUAUCAGAGUAUAUUGUUUCCUACUUAUUAGGGUAUGAUGUUGACUUCAAUGGGCAACUUAGCCAAUUAAACUUCUCUUGCUUUCCGAACCUCGAAAAUCUGACAAUCCAGUCCUUUCCUUUUACUGGAAGCAUACCACCAGAAAUUAGUGCUCUUUCAAAACUCCAACGGCUGGACUUGUCCUCGAACGGACUUACAGGUAACAUACGAAAUUAACUUCAUUACCGCAUAUUAUUUGAGCAAUCAUAUUUAAAUGGAUUAAGUUUGAGAGAAUACUGACAAAAGCAAAGGUAAACCUGGUCUAUUUUAUCAUAUUAAUUGAAAAAAAUAAUAAUAAUUAACACGGUAGAUACGCCUGUUUACCAUUAAUUGUUUUUACUUAUGUUCUGUCAGC
rnacentral:lncRNA from 1 species